AUCCGGUCUGUGCUCACCUCUGCUCCACUGCAGACCUAAUGCAGCUUCUGUUUUCAGACGCUGCAAGAAAUAUUUGUCUUCCAGAAACAUAAAGAAAUAAGAUUGAGUGGCUGUGGCUCAGUGGGCUGGACUGUUUACUAAUCACACGGUCAGCAGUUUGAUCCCUGCGCUGUAAAGUUCAGGCUGAAGUGUCCUUGAGCGUCACGUUUAAGUUAUUUGCCCCAGUCUACAGUAAAUGUCUCCACACAGAUCCAUAAAGCAGCUACCGAGAAAACAGUUUCUGUUCCAAGGUCAAGUUGAAUCUAGUUCUGACGAUGUACACAUAUGAUAAUCUUCCAUAUAUGAUUGCAGACGUGUGCUCCAUUAAUUGCUUUCUGCGAUUGAUUGGUUGUGUCUGAGAACAACCGGAAGAGGGAGCUGUCACCAUGGCAACGGAGUGAGGACCGCGUGCGACGUGAAGUUGACGUCUACCCUUUUCAGCUUGGGUAAACCUGGAGACGCCGGCCAUCCAUAAGCGUCGGCUCACACCGAGAUGAACGAGGAUGGAGGAGGGAGGACGAGCGUGAGGCAACGCUGGGGUUUUCAUUGGAUAUUUGCACACAAUGUGCAGAGGGAGCUCAGACCAGAAAGUUUUCAGUUUGGAUAUGAGGAAAUGAAAAGCCCAGGUCUUCGGGGGGGAAAAAGUGACAAAGUACACAGACGCAUGAUGGAGAUGACACUCGCUGCUGUCAGGCUCCGACUGAAGGCAGCUACCAGGCAACAUGUGGGAGAGCGGCACCAGCGGGGGAACGAAGAAAAGAUUUUGAGUGGUGUUUUCAGAUUUAUGGCACCACAGAGACACGGGAGGCUUGAGCUAGUUUUUCAUCGUUGACAGUAACAACUUCUCAGCAGAACGCCGACUCAUUAGAGCCAGGACUACCAUUACCUACCAUCAGCUGUCCUCGCGGGCCCAGACUGGUCCUCAGUGCUUAUUUAGAGGCUUCUUUUUAUAUUCUCACCUCAUAUGUUUAUGUCCAAUGACCGGUUUUAGCUUAUUCUUUUUUUUGUUUAUGUGUUUCUUGACAAUGAUAAUUGCAUUAACACACAGUUGCUUUCUGAAAACGAACACGUCUGUGUGUCUUUGUUACGGAGAGGCAGGAGUGGGCACUAUACUGUGAAAUCACCCACCUGAUGCGCGCUGCUCGCCCCAAACGCACAGGGAAUUGCUUUGCUCCUUCACUAUUUGAUAAUCAGCUGCAGCAACAAUCAGAAUGGGAAACGAGGAGCCGUAGGAACCCGGGCCUCUCGAGUGCACAACGCGUGCAAUAAAUACGCCGGCGAAUCUGUCUCCA
rnacentral:lncRNA from 1 species